rnacentral:rRNA from 1 species
CACGGGGGGACUCCUACGGGAGGCAGCAGUAGGGAAUCUUCCGCAAUGGGCGAAAGCCUGACGGAGCAACGCCGCGUGAGCGAAGAAGGCCUUCGGGUUGUAAAGCUCAGUCACUCGGGAAGAGCGACCUAAGGAGUGGAAAGCCUUAGGGGAGACGGUACCGAGGGAGGAAGCCCCGGCAAACUACGUGCCAGCAGCCGCGGUAAUACGUAGGGGGCAAGCGUUGUCCGGAAUCACUGGGCGUAAAGCGUGCGUAGGCGGUUUUUUGGGUCUGGGGUGAAAGUUCAAGGCUCAACCUUGAGAAUGCCUUGGAAACUAGAAGACUUGAGUGCUGGAGAGGCAAGGGGAAUUCCACGUGUAGCGGUGAAAUGCGUAGAGAUGUGGA